UACGUAGGGUGCAAGCGUUAAUCGGAAUUACUGGGCGUAAAGCGUGCGCAGGCGGUUAUGUAAGACAGGUGUGAAAUCCCAGGGCUUAACCUGGGAACUGCAUCUGAUACUGGAUGGCUUGAAUCCGGGAGAGGGAUGCAGAAUUCCAGGUGUAGCGGUGAAAUGCGUAGAUAUCUGGAGGAAUACCGGUGGCGAAGGCGGCAUCCUGGACCGGCAUUGACGCUGAGGAGCGAAAGCUAGGGGAGCAAACGGG
rnacentral:rRNA from 1 species